CUCUGGUCGCCUCCACCUCCGCGCCGUGAGGAACCCGCCACGCGCGUCAAGGCGAGGCGCCUCCUGGGCUCCGUCCGUUUCCAGAGCGAGCGCCCGCGAAUACCUAGCUAGCCGCCGCCGUCGUGACCGUUCCAGCCACCGCCAAGGUAAGGAGAGAAGGAUCGUCGGACAUGAGCGGAGUCUCCUACUCCAUAAGGUCUCCUUGUUGUCUUCAUUUCUUGCCCACGGCCUCGGAGAGCAGGUCAUUUUGGCCAAUCACGCGAACCGCAUGUUACGCUUCGACACCAUCGACGGUUGCAGCUACAUUGAUACAAUGCCUAGCCUCCACGGGUACAAGCACUCGCCGCUGGCCAUCUUCGUCCCUCCGACGGACUUGCACCUCCUUGGACGGCGAUGACACCGGCAACCUCUACAGCAUUGACGCCCACCUGCAAGGUCACCCCCCGGUCCUUCCCCGACAUCAUCAGCGAGUACCUCGGGGCAGAGUCCGCGCUACCGUACCUGAGCCCCUACAUGUGCGGCGAGAACCUGCUCGUCGGCGCCAACUUCGUGUCCGCUGGCAUCGGCAUCCUCAACGACACAGGCGUGCAAUUCGCAAGCUCCACGCGCGCGCACGCACACAUGCUCGAAUCAGGUAUACGUAUCUACAAUAAUGCAACAGAGAUGACAAUAAUGUUGUACGUGUAUGUGUGCGUGUGCAGGUGAACAUCAUCAGGAUCGCGCAGCAGUUGCAAAACUUCCAAGACUACCAGCGGAGGCUGGCGGCGUACAUCGGCGAGGACGCGGCGAGGGAGCGCGUGAGCCAGUCGCUGGUGCUCGUCACGCUCGGCGGCAACGACUUCGUCAACAACUACUUCCUGGUGCCCUUCUCCUCUAGGUCCCAGCAGUUUGAGAUCCACGACUACGUCCCCUUCAUCAUCUCCGAGUACAAGAAAGUCCUCGCGAUGAUGUAAUCAGCUAGAGAAGGACAGGAGCUUGCACAGAGUUUUUAGUAGAAGACGGCGUAAAUUGUGGUAUUCUCCGCAAUGUGGAAGUUCUUCAGAUCCAAAUCCUACUUCAGAAAGUGUAUAUGAAGCAAAGGUCUGCACCUACAUGUUAUCAGAAGUCAGGUCUUAGACAAGGUAAUGUUUUUCUAUCUGAUGAACUAGACAAGGUAAUGUUCGAACUUGGAAGUGAUCAAAUCAUAUGUUUUGGUAUGCAAGAGUGUAAGCUAACUAUUGUAUAUACAUGUUGCCUCUACAUUUUCAGUUUCUGCUUGUCUAAUGUAAAAAUUGUUAGGUGUUUUAUACUGAGCCAUCUGCCAUCUUGGCUUGUCUUAUACUGAGCCAUCUGCCAUCAUGUAUAUUGAUUGCGGUUGGAUUUUGGAGUGCCAUGGCUUCCAAUCUUACUAAUCAGUUGUUAGGUGUUUUCGGCAAGAAUCUUUUUACCGACAAGGAGGAUGAAGACGGGGAUUAACCCAAGGCAGCGGGUAUGGUCUCCAGGUCUUUUGGUUAUGUUUCCAAUUUGAAUUCGUCAAGUUGAGUUGUUUUCUACACGAGAUUGCAAGGUCGGGUAGCAUAUUUAAGUUUCUAGCGCAUAAAUAUUGCCAUCAUGAUGGCGUCAUGAACUUAAUUUAGUCAUGUUGCCCAUCAAAUUUGCAUAUUAUAAUCAUAUAUAUCUCUAAUAGAAAGUUGCUUGCUAUAAGAAAUGCUAAUGGUACCUUUUGUUAUUCAUACAUUCUAAAAUCUCGUUGAACAUGGGCUUCCUUUAAUGUUCUAUCACCUCCUUUCUACAGUAUCCUGAUUUUAUGAAACAAACAAAUGAACAUGGAUAUGGCAUCACUAGAAAAUUUGGUCCUUCGGAUUUCAAAUACCCAUAUUUAGUUGGACAACUAUUAACUCAGACUAUACUGCUUAUCUGCAGUAUAACGCCCUGACUCUGAACUCUUUAUUUGCUGAAAAGUAGCACCUUAAUGUCGUGUUUAUAUGUUCCAAAAUUGUACGGAAUACUACUUCAGUGAUGAUGAUCUUUCGAUGGAUGUGUAUUCACUGAUAUUAUGCUAUAGGUUAUCUCUCUUUUGGGUAUCUUCCUUUCUUUAGUAACUCAAAUUUCCAGUUGGCAACUCAAUUUCCCAUGGCUUGGAUGCGGAGGGGUCGUGGCAUGUCACAUAGGUGUGCUCAGGUGAUGCUACGGCAAAGGGCGGCGGCUCGGCUGAAGAGGGUUUGUUUGGCAGUGAUGUGGCAUGCUCGGGCCCAUGUGCGGAUGCGGUGGAGGGUGACACCGUGGCUACGACAGAGGACGGCGCUGGGCACAUGGGUUGGGCCAGGGCGUUGCUGCAGACUCGGUAUCGAGCGUGGCUGGAUGCUCGGCUGGGUUACUGGCCUCCGCAUCGCCAGCGUGCUUGUCCUUCGGUGUGGCUGCACAGUCAGGCCAGGGCAUGGUUGGGUCCUUGGCCUCGGGUACAUGAGCUUAUCCAGAAGGGCUGAUAUGGAGGACAUGUCGUGUUGCCAUUUCCAUCUGCGAACAGGCUCCCAACUUAAUAAAUUGGAAUGUGAUACCAAUGUUGUUCACUGCAACCUGGAGAUACCAAUGUUGUUCACUAAGUUGGGAUGUUAGCAGCUUAUCUGUUAUUCGCAUAACAGAUCAACCAGAUGACAAACAAACCUUUGUAAUCAGAGCCAACCAGUGAUUUCUCCCGAUCUGGAUCCCCACCCCAAGCUCCGCCCGCAGUCUGAGGCCUGGCCAGCCAGCUAGCUCGGCCAAAAUCCGGCGGGAGGAAAGCACACCGAGCAGGGAAGAUGAGUAGCUACCAGAAUUGGCACCGUCAGCCACCUGGCCAGCUAUGCCAUGGCCCUAAUCCACCGCUGGUUAGUCGACCAAUCAACAAGACCAUCAAGCAGAGGGGUUGUCACCCUAGAACUAGGGCUCUCCUUCGCCGGGCAGGAGCAGCACGGGCCCCGUCGCCACAAUCCCCAGCUGCAUCAUGAGCUUGCCCGGCGCCACCCUCCUGUGGCGGUUAGGAGGGAGGAAUGGUUACGUCGGCGGGAGGGGCGGCGCAUCCACCUUUGGUAUUAAGUUAUUUGUUGGUUCGGCUGAAACUUAUCUUGUUCCUUAGUUGAAUUAGACAUCAAAUAUACAAGCUUUGUUUUUUGUCAGCAAACAGGUGAACUGAUAAAGGAAGAGUUCUUCCAUGAAUAGUAGUACAUUUACUAUGCAGAUGAUCUGGACAAGUAAUCAAACAAGUCAGCACUAUCUCACUAGGCAGGUUAUUAUUUAAGAUAUUUUCCACUUCUGAAUCUUUGCUCAAAUCGCUCGAUCAUUCGGUCUAUUUGUUGAUACCGUACAAUGAUUUUUAAUUUUCGUUGUAGUCCAAUCUUUGUUGAUUCAGAAAGAUGGUCCUGCUCAACGAGCUCAAGCAGCGUCCACGAGCAAGGCCAUCCACAACGGAAAUGUUGUGACUAAAGAUAAUUAUACGCAUAUUCAGUUAUAUAUAUGUAGAAAGUUUCUGUAUUUUCUUUUAGUCAUUACGCAGAACACUCAAUAUUCAAUAUUAGAUGACACAUUGGCCACAUCAUCCAGUAAAUUUGUUAAUCAUAAUAAAUCAUGGAUGGUUGCUGAUUUCGGACAUAGAAUGCUAAUAAGUUACAACCUCAACCUCAAGUAAUCUGAGAGUAUUUAGAUUUUGAUGCAGCUAAACCUAUCCAGCACAAUGCGCAAACUCUUCUUGAUUGCAGCAUGUUAAAAUGUCGACAUUUCCCAGGUAUGCAUUUAUUUGUAGUGUACCUGUGAAAUAUUGUGAGAACUUGAGUGUUACGAGUAUACUGGUUUUGUAGCUAAUCUUUUUCCAGUUUGUGCAGAGCAUCAGGAACCUUAAUGUCGAGAAUGAAAAUUCUAAUAUCAAUAACUUACCUAUUCUAAUAUUCUUUGAGAAACACCGUUGAAGAAUACAAGUUACAAGAUAUACUUAUUGUUAGUUCUUCGUCGACACCUACUAUUCUUAUUGAACCUUAGUUGUUAACAAUAUGUAGUACUCUAGGAACAAUGGACAGAAGGUUCUGUUUUCCAGGUGAUUCUACUAAUGUUGGCUCUACCAAAGUAUCUCUUCUGCAUGAUAUCUGCUUAAAUAUGGAAAUGAGAAAGUUAGUAUCUCGGCAGCAAGCAGGAACUUAG